UAUUUAUUUUCUGAUUUUCUAAGUUUAUAGGCUACAGCACGUGCAGCCGACUAUGCGCAGUCGGGCCUACAAAAACACUUCUCUACGUUUGGAAAGGAAAAUGUGUCCACUAGCGUGACCCUGCCCACACCUGAGCCAAAUGUCCAGAGUCCUGCAAAAGAGACCACACCACCUGUGGAGAUUGGAUCCACAGUUGCUUCAGAUGAAGAAAAAUCUAGUGAAGAGUACUUCACCCAUUCAUUGCUGCUGCCACCUUGUUUUUUCUUCAUUGACCAGAAGGAUUGGAACAAACUGCGCAAAAAAAACAACACUGCCGUAGAUUCAAAACACUGAACUGGACCUCUGUAAUGGCCAAAGGAAUACGGAGUGUUCAUCCUUACUGCAGUUUUGGAUUUAAGUGCCACAGUGUGAAAUCCAUCGGCUCUAAAAGAAGUGGCCCAGUCUUCACAUGUUCUGGCUACUGUACUUUUGAUGACUGCCCUGUAGAGGUGGAAACAAACUUUCAAGAAGAGUCGUCUCUGAAGGCUGAGGUCAUCUUCAGUGGUGAUUUUGUCUGCCACUGAUGGGACCAAAUAAAGAUGGCCGGUGCCAGGUGAGGAAAGGGAUGCCCUGUCCCAUACCUUUUCAACCAAACUGCCGAGGACUGUCUUCUUGGAGUAUUGAGAGGCUGGAGGACACUGUUGUGGCCUCAGGGUGCAGGGACAACGUCUCUGCAACUGGUGUCAUGGAGCAAGAAAAAACAAAAAAGAAGACACAAAAAUGAGAUGAUCAGCCUCCAGAAGAUGGUGGCUGAAGAGGAGGCAGAGGCAGAAGGAAGGGUGAUCCAGAACAUCAGUCUUUACCUUAAGUGUGAUGCUGUACU